GGGAAACUCACCAGGUCCAGACUGGGUAAGGAUGUACAGAUUGACAGCUCUUUACAGAUUCUCAGGGUGGUGGUGCAUGGCCGUUCUUAGUUGGUGGAGUGAUUUGUCUGGUUUAUUUCGAUAACGAACGAGAUCUUAACCUGCUAAAUAGUAACACGUAUCUCCGGAUAUUUGAUUACUUCUUAGAGGGACUUUGUGGUUUCAACUGCAAGGAAGUUUGAGGCAAUAA
rnacentral:rRNA from 1 species